CUUUCAAGUCCGAUGCUAAAGACUGGGGCUCAACCCCAGGGGUACGUUGGAUACUGUGAGGCUAGACGGUCGGAGGGGGUAGCGGAAUUUCCGGAGUAGCGGUGAAAUGCGCAGAUACCGGAAGGAACGCCAAUAGCGAAGGCAGCUACCUGGACGACUUGUGACGCUGAGGCGCGAAAGCGUGGGGAGCAAACCGGAUUAGAUACCCGGGUAGUCCACGCCCUAAACCAUGAGUGCUGGGUGUCCGGCUUCUGCUGGGUGCCGUAGCUAACGCGCUAAGCACUCCGCCUGGGAAGUACGCACGCAAGUGUGAAACUCAAAGGAAUUGACGGGGGCCCGCACAAGCGGUGGAGCAUGUGGUUUAAUUCGAAGCGACGCGAAGAACCUUACCAGGCCUUGACAUGCCCGGGAACCCCUCUGAAAGGAGGGGGUGCCCGCAAGGGAGCCGGGACACAGGUGCUGCAUGGCCGUCGUCAGCUCGUGUCGUGAGAUGUUGGGUUAAGUCCCGCAACGAGCGCAACCCCUAUCCCUAGUUGCCAGCAGUUCGGCUGGGCACUCUAUGGAGACUGCCUGCGAAAGCAGGAGGAAGGCGGGGAUGACGUCUGGUCCGCAUGGCCCUUACGGCCUGGGCGACACACGUGCUACAAUGCCAAGGACAGAGCGCUGCUACCUCGCGAGAGGACGCCAAUCGCAAAAACCUUGGCUCAGUUCGGAUUGGAGUCUGCAACUCGACUCCAUGAAGCCGGAAUCGCUAGU
rnacentral:rRNA from 1 species